GGACAAAGGAGACAAUGCAUCCGCCAUGGCUGCUGACCUCAGCUGCACUACAGCUCAUAUUACCUUCCAGGUCGCCCCACCAAGAUACGGACCCAACUCCCUUACCCCCACGAACUCUAGACAGCUUAAUCAUCACAGUGUAUCAUUUAUAAUAGCAACAACAUCAACAACAACGACAAUAUCAGCUUGGUAUGUGUGUAUGUAUGCAUACUGCAGAAACUUUUCGAUUUUCAGCGAAAUUUUCAAUGCAACAGCUUAACCAAACAGACCCUUCAGAUAAAAUCAGGCAAAAAGGAGACAAAGCAACCGCCAUGGCUGCAGACCUUCAGUUGCAAGACAAUGGAAGCUACCAUACCGGGUCGCCCCGCCAAGAUACGGGUCAGCUCCAAAUACCCGACCCGACCCGAACUCUAGACAGCUUAAUCAUCACAGCCUAUCAUUCGUAACAGCAACAACAACAACAAUAUCAGCUUAAUGUGUGUGUAUGUAUACAUACUGCAGAAACUUUUUCGAUUUUCAUCGAAAUUUAUCAUGCAACAGCUUCAACCAAACAGAGCCUUAAGAUAAAAUCAGGCAAACAAGGAGACAAAGCAAACCGCCAUGGCUGCAGGUCUUUCCGGGUCGCCCCGCCAAGAUACGGGUUAAGCUCCAAAUACCCGACCCAACCCGAACUCUAGACUGCUUAAUCAUCACAGCCUAUAUCAUUCGUAAAAGCAACAACAAUAUCAGCUUUGAGUGUGUAUAUAUAUGUGUGUGUAUGUAUACAUACUGCAGAAACUUUUCGAUUUUCAUCGAAAUUUUUCAUGCAACAGCUUAACCAGACCCUUAAGAUAAAAUCAGGCAAAGCAACCCGCCAUGGCUGCAGACCUUGCCGGGUCGACCCGCCAAGAUACGGGUUAAGCUCCAAAUACCCGACCCGAACUCUAAUAGUGUGUGCCUAUGACUCUCCGUUUUCAAUGCAACAUCUUAACCAAACAGACCCUUAAGAUAAAAUUGUGGAUUAUAUUUUUGGCGGGAAAAUGGAAAUAAUUGGCGAAAACAGAGAGGGCAACCACCAUUAAAAGACUCCCCAUUACCUCUGUUUCGCUCAAUUUUUAUUUUUCGUCUUAAGUUGAAGAAAAAUGAAAAUUGUUAAGGGGAUUUUAUACUAUUUUUUUUUGUUUUUUCAUUCCCAAUUAAUGUGAAUUCAGCCCAUUUAGCUAUUCCUCCCAACAGAGUUUUCUCCAUAGCUAGGAUCGAAUCAUCAAUCUUUGGUUAGCAGGAUUUUAUACUAUAGUUUCAUUGAUACAUUUUUUUAAAUAUGUUUUAAGAAAAUGAUCCUUUUUAUUUUAGUAACCCUUUCAUUCCAAUUUUUCAAAUUAAUAUUU
rnacentral:lncRNA from 1 species